GGCGACGUAGCCAAGCGGUUAGGCAGAGGUCUGCAAAACCUUUCAGAUCGGUUCGACUCCGAUCGUCGCCUCCA
rnacentral:tRNA from 1 species